UUUACUGUUAAUAUUUUACACUACCAUAUAAUUAACUAUAUUUGUACAGGUGAGGUAACACAACGAAAAAAUAACAUGAUGGAGACUACCUGAUUCUUCACCUAUGGCCUUAGCUUCAAAUGCAAGAAGUCCAGCAACUGUCUGAGCUGGUGGAUAUUCUAUCAGAGACUGCAUGAACAACGUUAUGAACAGAUGCUGUGAGGAGGUGGAGCCCAAAAGCCACGGACUCGGAAAUCGAUGCAGCUAUGGCAGACCACCUCAAGCACGCUCCAGGAAGAGAGCUAGGGGUUGUGAAUACAAAAAAUAAGCCAAACAGAUGUAAUGUGUUAGAAAAAAGUUCACACAAAAAUGAAAAUUGUUAUAAUUUUCUUACCCACGUGUUUCAAACCUGUAUACAUUUCUAUUUUUUGCUGAACACAAAGAUUGAAUAAUGUUUGUAACCAAGCAUUUCUCACAACCCAUUAACUGUCAUAAUCAUUUUUUUUACAAUUGUAGUAAUGGGUUGUGAGAUCUGCUUUUUUAAAAACAUUAUUUCAAAUAUCUUUGUGUUCCGCAGAACAUAGAAAGGUAUACAGGUUUGAAACAUGAGAGGGAGUAAAUGACUAAAUAUUCAUUUUUGGGUGAACUAUCCCUUUAUAUAAUAAAGUAUUUUGAAAUUGUUAUUAUAGUUAAAAAAAUAAAAGUCUUAAAUCAGAACAUGCUUCUUUUUUGCUCAUGUCCACAAAUAAUGUGUUCUUUAAUGUGUUUAAUGCCUAAAGACCUACACCAAGCGACAAGUGCUAUGGUUGUUAGCUUAUAUACAUUCUGAAAAUUUCAUGUGUACUUUAUGUGAAUGGAGGCCUAUGAUUAUUGCUUCUGACUGUAGGGUAAUUAAAUAUAAGGUAGCCUAAACACAUGAAAGACUAAACAUCACAUAGGCCAUAAAUCCCAAAAAUAAGGCAUAGCUGGCAUUGAUCUGGUACGCGGAUCUGUGCCGCAUCUCUAUGCGGGACUGGGCCAGCUCUGUUCCAUUUCCAGUUCAGAUUCGUGAAACUGAUCCUGACCACUUCUUGGCCGAUGUGCGUUUGGACACUGGACCGUGUUAGUUAAACGGAUCUGAUGCGGAUGGAACGGUAUGUGUGGGCCAGCUCCACCCCAGUGUUGUUUUACUGUUUUGGUACGAGAGUGGGCCAGGGCUGACCCAUCUCUGGUGCAGAGCCAUGAAACAAAUCCUGAUCACUUUUGGCCCGUUGUGCAUUUGGACACUGGACCAUGUCCGUGAGAUGGAUCCGGGGUGGAUCGCAUGGUAGGUGUGGGCCAGAACCACCCCAGUGUGGUUUU